GACGAACGCUGGCGGCGUGCCUAACACAUGCAAGUCGAGCGGAGCUAGUAGCAAUAUUAGCUUAGCGGCGGACGGGUGAGUAACGCGUGGGCAACCUGCCUUCUACAGGGGGAUAACACAGGGAAACUUGUGCUAAUACCGCAUAACAUACUUAAGGGACAUUCCUUGGGUAUCAAAGGAGCAAUCCGGUAGAAUAUGGGCCCGCGUCCGAUUAGCUAGUUGGAGGUGUAACGGACCACCAAGGCGACGAUCGGUAGCCGAACUGAGAGGUUGAUCGGCCACAUUGGGACUGAGACACGGCCCAGACUCCUACGGGAGGCAGCAGUGGGGAAUAUUGCGCAAUGGGGGAAACCCUGACGCAGCAACGCCGCGUGAAGGAUGAAGGUCUUCGGAUUGUAAACUUCUUUAGUCGGGGACGAAGAAAUGACGGUACCCGAAGAAUAAGCCACGGCUAACUACGUGCCAGCCGCCGCAGUAAGAC
rnacentral:rRNA from 1 species